CCAGCGUGGUUUAGCCUAGAGCUUCCCUGGACUCUUGAGGCCACAGCACUGGACCUGAAUGCUUGGAACGUCUUUGUCUAGCAUGGGCGGCAGCACACUCAGGCAGUCUGGGAAUGUUUGUGCUGUGCACGCUGGGCUUUGUGUUGGCAGUGAACUUGUCAAAUGCCAGGGAGCAGAUGCAGCAUGGUUGGAGGCCCACAGAGAGGCAGUACCCCAGCAGAGACAGAAAAACAGACGUACUCAGACAUGUUGACAGCACACACAUAGUCUUUCAGUGAGAAAGCAUCCUUAACAAGUACCCAGCACAGGAAGCAUCUGGGUUGUCUCUUGUGUUAUGUAAUUUAUCAUAAGAACUUCUGAGCUACUAGCUCUGGGCACUAAAACUCAAGUGAUGACUCUGGCUUGCUCUGCCUGCCCAGGCCUUGUGGCACCGGGCAUGGGUUGCACACAAGUAACAACUGAGAAAGGCGCUGAUCUCUGAAUCUGAGAAACUAGGGUUCGAAUCCUAGCUCUGCCUGUCUGCUGGGUGGCUAUUGGUGAAUUCCUAAACCUCUCUGAGCCUUAGAGUAACA
rnacentral:lncRNA from 1 species